GUACAACUUAGGCCCGUUUGGAUUCCCUUAAAAACGUAGCAUAGUUAAACUAUGCUACACCGAUAGAAAAAUAAUUUUAUGAAGCGUUUGGAAGAAAAAAAAAAUGACGUAAUUUUUAGAGUAUAGCUAUACUCCAAAAAAUAGAGUAAAAUUACAAUCCACUUUAACUAGAGGAAAAAAAUUUCACCAUUUUGGGCUCCCUUACCCCAAAGAUGUAUCAAGUUCUAAAUAUUAAGUUUCAACAUAAAAUUUUAAAUUUCAAUCUAAAUUUUAUAUUUCAAAUUUAAAAAUUUUAAAAUUUAAUUUUAAUUUUGAUUUUAAAUUUUAAAUUUUAAAUUUUAAAUUUGAAAUUUCUAAUUUCUAAUUUUGAAUUUCAAAGUUUUAAAUUUAAAAUUUAAAAUUAAAAUUAAAAAUUUACAAAUUUACAAAUUUACAAAUUUAAAAUUUAAAAUUUAAAAUUUGAAAUUUAAAAUUUUAAUUUUAAUUUGCAAUUUUCAAUUUUUAAAAUUUAAAUUUAAAUUUCAAAUUUUAAAUUUUAAAUUUCAAACAUAAAAUUUAAUUUAAUUUUUUAAGUUUUUAAAUUUUAAAUUUUAAAUUUUAUUUUUAAAUUUUGAAUUUUAAUUUUUUAAAAUUUUAUUUUUAAAUUUUGAAUUUAUAAUUUUAAAAAUUUAAUUGUUAUAAAUUCUAUGGAAUUGUACGAUAUGUAUCUAAACAGCUUAAAAAUGAAGCUGUGGAAUUUUUUUGUAGUCGCAGGAUUCCGCAUUUCAUUUAGACCAAAACCACAAAAUGAAAAUUUCAUGGAGUUUUUUAACUAUGUAUUCAAACAGGGCCUUAGUGGGUGUUUCGCCAAUCUUUCGAAAAGUAAUUUUGGACGGAAAAUUGAUUUUCGACUCAAUAGAGCUUUUGGCAAUUUUAUUUUCAAAAUCUAAUUUUAAUUUUUAAAAUUAAUUUUUUAUUUUCAAGGCUCAAAAUUAGAAUUAGCUAAAAUCUACUUCUUGAAAACUGAUUCUGUUUUUGAACUCAAACUUUAAAUUUUUAUUUUGAUUUUAUCUUCAAACUUUAAAUUUGAAUUACAAUUUUAAAUUUGUAUUUGAAUUUUAAAAUUUCAAAUUUUAACUUUUAAAUUUGAAAUUUUAAAAUUUUAAAUUGAAAAUUUAAAUAUACAUUUCAAAAGUAAAUUUCAAAUCUUAAAUUUAAUUUUAAAAUUCAAAAUUUUUAAAUUUCAAAUUUAAAAGUUAAGAUAAAAUUUAAAUUUUUAAAUUUUAGAAUUUAAAAUUUAAAAUUUAAAUUUUAAAAUAAUAUGUUUUGAUUUUCAAAUUACAAAUUUCAAAAUUUAAAAAUUCAAAUUUUAAGUUUUUUAAUUUUUCAAUUUUAAUUUUUAUUUUAAAAUUUUAAAUUGUUAGUUUUAAAUUUUUAAUAUUCAAAUUUAAAAUUUAAAAUUUUCAAACGUUAAAUUUUAAAUUUCAAAUUUUUAAUUUUAUAUUUGAAAUUAAAAAUUUAUAUUUAUAUUUAAAAUUUAAUUUUUAAAUUUUAAAUUUCUAAAUUUUAAAUUAACAUAUCAAAAUUUAAAUCUUUGUGCAAAUUUAAAAUUUAACAUUUUAAAAUUUUAAUUAAAAUUAAAAAUUUAAAUUUAAAUUCAAAUUUUAUUUUUUAAAAUAAAAUUUAGUAAAAAAAUUAUUGUACGCCAACAUCAAAAAAAUUUUUGCUAAACAGUUUCACAAAAUCACUUCAGGAAAAAAAAAAUCACUUUUCAUCUAAACUCAGGCUUCGUUUGGGGUUGGGGAAAGAUUGCGUUACGUACGGUAAGAAAGUACAAUGGAAAAAUAUCAGGUUUGUUUUCGUACGUAAUAUUGCAUUACGUAUAUCGCGAUGAAUUCGGUUAUAAUAUAUUUUCUACGAUUCCACCGAAAAUCAUAGAAGCAAAUUCGUAUAUGUUUUAUCCCAACUCUAUUUUAUCUAAUAACAUGAGAUGUGUCUCAAUGUCAAACUAAGCUUUAAAGCUUUAAUCAAAAUUAAUUUUUCAAAUCAAAAUUAAUUUUGCAGAAAUUAUUUUUUCAGAAUCUAGACCAAUUCUAACCUUUGUUGGUAGUCAAUAAAUU
rnacentral:lncRNA from 1 species